rnacentral:tRNA from 2 species
GCGCCCGUAGCUCAGCUGGAUAGAGCGCUGCCCUCCGGAGGCAGAGGUCUCAGGUUCAAAUCCUGUCGGGCGUACCA